rnacentral:rRNA from 1 species
CACGUAGGGUCCGAGCGUUGUCCGGAGUUACUGGGCGUAAAGAGUGUGUAGGCGGUGCUUCUAAGUUCGGUGUGAAAUCUCCCGCUUAACUGGGAGGGUGCGCCGGAAACUGGAGUGCUCGAGCGUGGGAGAGGAAAGCGGAAUUCCUGGUGUAGCGGUGAAAUGCGUAGAUAUCAGGAGGAACACCUGCGGUGUAGACGGCUUUUCUGGACCAUUGCUGACGCUGAGACACGAAAGCGUGGGUAGCAAAACAGG